rnacentral:lncRNA from 1 species
CACUAAGAUGGCUACUAAGUGACUAACAGGAGAGUAGUGUAUAGAGUAUGGUUACAUUGGAUGAAAGGAUGAUUCAUAUCCUGAUCAGAAUGGAGCAGGACAGCCUAAGAUGUCAUUAUGCUACUCAGAAUGAUUGCAAUUGAAAACUUAUGAAUUGUUACUUCCAGAAUUCUUCACUUAAUAUUUUCAGAUGGGAGUUGACCUUGUGUCGCGACCCCCUCGCCAGCAAGGAAGACACGACACAGGAUUCUUCUUUCAGCGGUUUAUUCAGGCCUUAAUUCUAGUCUUCUCUCAAGCGCGCUCGCUUCCGUGNGUAUUGAGGGACAGCGCGCCAACUCUUCCUAAUAAGGAGUUGUUUACCAAGAUCCACAACGGAGACCGGCGCCAUCUUCUAAUGGCGGCAACGGUCUACAAACACGGCUCACCACAACCUUGUGCAAUUGAAACUAUGAAAAGCAAAAUUAAAGAUAAGGGACUAUUUAUCUACUGCAGUGGGUUAUCAGGUUUAUGAAAACAUAGGGAUCAAAGUUACACCUAUGUUCAACCACUAGCUUGAUGAUAACCAUACUCAGUUCAUGUAUUUUACCUAAAAUAAUGUCUAGUGACAAAGAGGAAGUGGGAAGAGAUGGAACAAUUUGUAUCACAUCAACUUGCAUCAAUUACAAGUGAUU